GGAGAGAUGGCUGAGCUGGUCUAAGGCGCACGACUGGAAAUCGUGUGAGGUUUAACCGCCUCCGAGAGUUCGAAUCUCUCUCUCUCCG
rnacentral:tRNA from 1 species